AUUUAGCUGACGAAUCCUAAAUAGAACGAAAUGAGCGUUCUGGAU
rnacentral:hammerhead_ribozyme from 1 species